rnacentral:rRNA from 1 species
AGGAAAUUUGAGAGGAGCUGUCCUUAGUACGAGAGGACCGGGAUGGACACACCGCUGGUGUACCAGUUGUUCUGCCAAGAGCAUCGCUGGGUAGCUAUGUGUGGACGGGAUAAGUGCUGAAAGCAUCUAAGCACGAAGCCCCCCUCAAGAUGAGAUUUCCCAUUACGCAAGUAAGUAAGAUCCCUCAAAGACGAUGAGGUAGAUAGGUUCGGGGUGGAAGCGUGGCGACACGUGCAGCUGACGAAUACUAAUCGAUCGAGGACUUAACCA